CAACAGGGAUUGCCCCAGUAACGGCGAGUGAAGCGGCAAGAGCUCAAAUUUGAAAGCUGGCUCCUUCGGGGUCCGCAUUGUAAUUUGUAGAGGAUGCUUCGGGAGCGGUCCCCAUCUAAGUGCCCUGGAACGGGACGUCAUAGAGGGUGAGAAUCCCGUAUGGGAUGGGGUGUCCGCGCCCGUGUGAAGCUCCUUCGACGAGUCGAGUUGUUUGGGAAUGCAGCUCUAAAUGGGUGGUAAAUUUCAUCUAAAGCUAAAUAUUGGCCGGAGACCGAUAGCGCACAAGUAGAGUGAUCGAAAGAUGAAAAGCACUUUGAAAAGAGAGUUAAAAAGCACGUGAAAUUGUUGAAAGGGAAGCGCUUGCGACCAGACUCGCUCGCGGGGUUCAGCCGGCAUUCGUGCCGGUGUACUUCCCCGCGGGCGGGCCAGCGUCGGUUUGGGCGGUCGGUCAAAGGCCCUCGGAAGGUAACGCCCCUAGGGGCGUCUUAUAGCCGAGGGUGCAAUGCGACCUGCCUAGACCGAGGAACGCGCUUCGGCUCGGACGCUGGCAUAAUGGUCGUAAACGACCCGUCUUGAAACACGGACCAAGGAGUCUAACAUCUACGCGAGUGUUCGGGUGUCAAACCCGUGCGCGAAGUGAAAGCGAACGGAGGUGGGAACCCUCACGGGUGCACCAUCGACCGAUCCUGAAGUCUUCGGAUGGAUUUGAGUAAGAGCGUAGCUGUUGGGACCCGAAAGAUGGUGAACUAUGCCUGAAUAGGGCGAAGCCAGAGGAAACUCU
rnacentral:rRNA from 1 species